ACUCCUACGGGAGGCAGCAGUGGGGAAUAUUGGACAAUGGGCGCAAGCCUGAUCCAGCCAUGCCGCGUGAGUGAAGAAGGCCUUCGGGUUGUAAAGCUCUUUUGUCCGGAAAGAAAAGCCUUCGGUUAAUACCCGGGGGUGAUGACGGUACCGGAAGAAUAAGCACCGGCUAACUUCGUGCCAGCAGCCGCGGUAAUACGAAGGGUGCAAGCGUUACUCGGAAUUACUGGGCGUAAAGCGUGCGUAGGUGGUUCGUUAAGUCUGAUGUGAAAGCCCUGGGCUCAACCUGGGAAUGGCAUUGGAAACUGGCGACCUAGAGUGCGGUAGAGGGUAGUGGAAUUCCCGGUGUAGCAGUGAAAUGCGUAGAGAUCGGGAGGAACAUCCGUGGCGAAGGCGACUACCUGGACCAGCACUGACACUGAGGCACGAAAGCGUGGGGAGCAAACAGGAUUAGAUACCCUGGUAGUCCACGCCCUAAACGAUGCGAACU
rnacentral:rRNA from 1 species